GACGGAGGAUGCAAGUGUUAUCCGGAAUCACUGGGCGCAAAGCGUCUGUAGGUGGUCAAAUAAGUCAACUGUUAAAUCUUGAGGCUCAACCUCAAAAUCGCAGUCGAAACUAUUAGACUAGAGUAUAGUAGGGGUAAAGGGAAUUUCCAGUGGAGCGGUGAAAUGCGUAGAGAUUGGAAAGAACACCGAUGGCGAAGGCACUUUACUGGGCUAUUACUAACACUCAGAGACGAAAGCUAGGGUAGCAAAUGGG
rnacentral:rRNA from 1 species